rnacentral:rRNA from 1 species
UUCGGACCUCCAAUCAAGCAAGGCUACCCGCCGGAUUAAGG